rnacentral:lncRNA from 1 species
CAUGCUUCAGUACUGCAAGUUGGAGUAGCAAGUAAGUAUACAUCAAAAGAAAGUACUGCUUCAGUACUACUCCCUCCGUUCCAAAAUAGAUGACUCGACUUUGAGUUAGUACAAAGUCGAGUCAUCUAUUUUGGAACGGAGGGAGUACAUGCUUAGUACUGACCAUCUAAAAAGAUGUCUAAUUAGUGUGCACGAAUCAGGUUAAACCCGCAUGCCUACCUGCACAUUGAUACUCAUACCUGGCUGUGAUAGAAGUUUCAUCUUGAGAUUCAAUUCUUUGAUUUAUGAUGCCCAUUCAUAUGCACAAUGAGAACAUAUAUCCUUCUUACUAAUCUCUGUUUUUUUAAGUUGAAACUAUUUCUUUGUUACUUCAUGUAUGUGAAGUGCAAUCAUAGUCUGUCACAAACUUGUUUGAGGAUGGCAAAAGACUGACCUUUUGCGGGGCAGAGAAAAGACCGGCUUAUUUUAUUUUAACACAACAUAGCAAGCUCCAUAUAUUUCAGUUAGUACAUGGCAGGAUGCAGACUAUGUGCAGUAUUAGUGGUGUAUGGUUAGACUCCAAAAUUGCAGUAUUAGUGGUGUUUUAAAGAGAAAGGUUCGUAAAUGAUGUUGUUUUCUACUAAGAAAUUUCAGUAGUCGGUGUAACCAUUGAGUGCCAAUGUGAUGGGCAUUUAAGAUUUAGAUUCAGAACUGUGGGGUUCAGCACAGAUGGCUUCACUUCAAUAUUUUUCCCCAUGUGGUUGCUGGAUGCAUACAUAUCUAUGUACGCUGGUACAUAUCCAUCCAUUCAACUUCAGUUUUGAUGCAUCUUGUAUAAUGAAUCCUACAUUAUGUGGAGAAAUUUAGACAUAUAAGAGUAUCUGUAAGCCAACCACAUACCACACAUUUUAAAGGCUUAUUUUCUCUACAUCUAUACUAGCUUGAACCAAGUAUUUCUAUUUUCUUUUUAUUUGUUGCCAAAAUUGAAGGAAUGUCGAUAUGGUGUAUUUUUACAACAAUCAGCGUGUUGACUUGGAGCUUGUCCAUUUGCGACGCACUUCUUAUUCUUGGAUUAAGCCUAAUGCUUGCUCUACCAAUCAUGUAGUACUGUUGUGAACUCAUAGGUGAAACCAUUCUCUAUCCAAUACAGAGUUAGCAUAGCUGAGCAUGAUUAGGAGGGAAGGAUUAUUUGGAUUGCUUUACGUAGACUGGCAUGGCUGAUCUUCCCUUCCAUUAUUAUUGCUACUUUAUGUUUUAAUUCCAUUGUUCUUCACUUGAUCUUGGGAUCUAUGUUCCAGUGACUUCCUGAACUUUUACUUGCUGAUGAGAAGUUUCUAUUUUAUUUUUUCUUUCACUUGAUCUUUAGGUUUACAGGGUUAAUGGAUCCAUGUUUCAGCGACUUUGUAGAAGUGUGUUUACUUAUCUUGCUUUUGUUGCUACCGCUGGUGAAGACAAACUCCAGAAAAGGGAGUGAAAUAAGAAAGACGAGAGGUUGCACAAGAUGAGUAAUGCUGGGUAGCGGUAGAGGCUGAAACUGUGAUGAUGAUGCGUAUCUGACCAUUAGUAUGUUUCCCAUCAAGGAAACCUACAAUUUCUAUUAUGAUACAGAGUUUCUAUUAUGAGGUGUAUUUCUCAUAAAGAAUGUGAAUUCUGCAUGAUAGUGUUUUGGAAACGUGAAGGUUUUAUGCAAAGACUGACAUUUAAGAAAGGAUGUAUUAAAAUGUAAACCCUGGUAGAUACUCCUAAAGUCGAAGUUGAUCAGGCAAUAGUAAUUUUUUUUUCGAGCACUGAACUACCGUUUCGGGUUUUGCUUAAUAUUGUUAUUCCUCAUAGGAUGUUCAAGAGGAACACCAUUCAGAAUUUCCUCAUAGGGUUUUGCUUAACUUAGAUUAGGAUGGGGUUCCUUUGACCUUAUGGUUAUGUAUAUAACAAGGACCUAUUACGUAUCCUUUUUCCACUCAGAAAUCUUUGAAUUAAAAGUGUGUUGCAAGUCAAAUGCACCACUGAUAUACAGUAGACACAAUUCGUGUUAAACUAUUGAAAUGUUUAUGACC